CAAUAGCGUAUAUUAAAGUUGUUGCAGUUAAAAAGCUCGUAGUUGGACCUUGGACCUGGACAGGCGGUCCGCCUCACGGCGUGUACUGUCUUGCUGGGUCUUUCCUCUUGGUGAUCUGUUGUUUCGGCAGCAGGGAACCAGGACUUUUACUUUGAAAAAAUUAGAGUGUUCAAAGCAGGCUCGACGCCGGAAUAUAUUAGCAUGGAAUAAUAAAAUGGGACGUGCGGUUCUAUUUUGUUGGUUUUUGGAAUCGCCGUAAUGAUUAAUAGGGACAGUCGGGGGCAUUAGUACUCACAUGCUAGAGGUGAAAUUCUUGGAUUUUGUGAAGACUAACUUCUGCGAAAGCAUUUGCCAAGGAUGUUUUCAUUAA
rnacentral:rRNA from 1 species